UAACAAGCAGGAAAUGUCCAUGGGCCAAUGACAUGACCACAUUGAAAUGCUGUAUAGUUAGUAAUGCAGAGGUUCUGUGUUGGGUUAGGAUUCACUGUAUUAACAGACCAUUAUCUAACACUACUAGUUUAUUACUACUAGUUUAAUACUAACUACUAGUUAGCUGUUUAUUAGUAGUUAAUAAUGCAGAGGUUAGGUGUUGGGUAGGAUUAUGUAUGUAAAAUAAGAUUAUACUUUAUAGCUACUAUUAUGAACAGUUCAUAUUUUAGUAAUAUGCAGGUAAUAAUCCAUUAGUAAAUGGCAUGAAUUGUGACGUAACCUAAAGUGUUACUAUUAAAAUUAGCUAAUACAACUUAUACAACUAUUUGAUGCUAUUAAUGGAGUGUGUUAGUAAACAUUGAACUCGAUUUUCUCUUCUUUUUGCCAUUGCUCAUGGUGUAAGCCUACAGUAAACAGUCAGUAAUAGACAGAAACUCUUUGUUUUUUCCACAUAAAUCGGCUUUUGUUCUGUUUAAUCAAAUGGAACUCUUGAAAAUGAUUAAUUAUAUUGGAAACCAUCAGCUUAAAAGGCGAGCGCUGGCCGUCUGACUCUAUCCUCAGAGCUGUGGCGUAGCAUAUGCUUAAUAAAAUGUGGCAGAUCACGUGA